CCUACGGGAGGCAGCAGUGGGGAAUAUUGGGCAAUGGGCGCAAGCCUGACCCAGCAACGCCGCGUGAAGGAAGAAGGCUCUCGGGUUGUAAACUUCUUUUAUCAGGGACGAAGCAAGUGACGGUACCUGAUGAAUAAGCCACGGCUAACUACGCGCCAGCAGCCGCGGUAAUACGUAGGUGGCAAGCGUUAUCCGGAUUUACGGGGUGUAAAGGGCGUGUAGGCAGGAAAGCAAGUCAGAUGUGAAAACCAUGGGCUCAACCUGUGGCCUGCAUUUGAAACUGUUUUUCUUGAGUACUGGAGAGGCAGGCGGAAUUCCUAGUGUAGCGGUGAAAUGCGUAGAUAUUAGGAGGAACACCAGUGGCGAAGGCGGUCUGCUGGACAGCAACUGACGCUGAGGCGCGAAAGCGUGGGGAGCAAACAGGAUUAGAUACCCGAGUAGUC
rnacentral:rRNA from 1 species